CUUUGGAGAGGCAAAAUCUGAGGUCCAGGGUGCUCUAGUCAUUUUUGACAAGAAAGAAACUGGAACUGAAAACCUGACAUUUUGCAAGGGCAAGGAGGAGGUUAAAUACUUCCAUGCCCAUGAAGAAUUAUGCAGGAUGCUCUUUUCACCAGAGACAGAAGAUGGGGAAUUUGUAAAGCUUAUGCUGAAAGCGAACAGGCUUCAGUCCAUGAGAAGUGUGUUAGACCAGAAGGUCUGGAAGGAAUAGUUCAUGCUUCAGGUCUGCUUACGAGAAUUAUACACCAAAACCAAGCACAAGACCGGAUAUUAUUGAAAAGUCUGUGCCGUGGAAGUACUGAUGCUACUGGGUCAAGGUACUCAGAUGCUAUGCUGUUGUAUGAAUCCAGCUAUGCUGCUACAUUAUUCUUCUGUCUUCGAUUUUCUAUGGUAAAUGUAGCAUUGGGGUUAGUUAUAUUAGCAUUAGCUAUAUUGGGGGUUUGCUGUUACUUGUUUUUUCUU